AAUUUUAGCACAGAACUUAUAAUUAUGAUGAGUUCUGUGAAUUGUAAACAGGUAGCUAUAGUUUUGACGCUUCAAUAUCGAUAUUUGAUUUCGAUAUUCGAUACUUUAAACUUCAAAGUUUUGGUGAGGUUAAGGUAAAUUGUAAAAUCUUUUAGAUAGAUACCGAAAUUAUUUGAAAUUUAUUUUUUGAAUCUAAUUGAUGCACAAUUCAACAUGGAAUCGCCUGAAAAAUAUUCCAUAAUGCAGGAAAUUAAAAAAACUGAAGAAGCAGUGAAAUCCACUUAUGAACGCAUAGAUAAACUGGAACAAAAAUUGAGGGCAGAAUCGCUUCCUGAAAACAAGCAAAGAGUUAUCGAACUGGAACUACUGGAAGUUAGAAAACUCUUGAAAACACAUGAAGAUCAACUAACUCAUUUGAGAACACACAAUAGGAAAACGUUUAUAUUUGUGGUGGCACUAAUGUUCGUAGUGUUCACGGUGUACAUGCUUUACGUGUUAGUUGGUGGUGAAUGAAUAAUU